GACGAACGCUGGCGGCGUGCCUAACACAUGCAAGUCAGGGGGAAAGCUGGCUUCGGCCAGUAACACAUGCAAGUCGGACGAUUUUUGUGGACGCGGAUCUUUCGGGAGAAGCGUUCAUGGAGAUAGUGGCGGACGGGUGAGUAACGCGUGAAGUACCUGCCCUGGGGAGGGGGAUACCGUCUGGAAACGGACGUUAAUACCCCGUAAGCCGGGAGGUGAAAGGCCCGUGAGGGCUGCCCUGGGAGGGUUUCGCGUCCUAUCAGCUGGUUGGUGGGGUAACGGCUCACCAAGGCGAAGACGGGUAGCCGGUCUGAGAGGAUGGACGGCCACACUGGAACUGAGACACGGUCCAGACUCCUACGGGAGGCAGCAGUGGGGAAUAUUGGGCAAUGGGCGGAAGCCUGACCCAGCGACGCCGCGUGAGGGACGAAGGCCCUUGGGUUGUAAACCUCUGUUGUACGGGAAGAAGCGAGUGACGGUACCGUACGAGGAAGCCCCGGCAAACUACGUGCCAGCAGCCGCGGUAACACGUAGGGGGCGAGCGUUGUCCGGAAUUACUGGGCGUAAAGGGCACGCAGGCGGAUAUGUGUGUUUGUAGUGAAAUGCCA
rnacentral:rRNA from 1 species